AUGGCACUGCAAGAGAGAGGUCACUCAAACUGCGGGAGACAACACAGGUAGGUACUUCACAGGCAACUGGGGCUCUAUUCUCACUUUAGUGAUUCGUAGCAAUGGACAAAGGUAAGUAUUCCACAGGCAACUGGGGCUCUAUUCUCACUUUAGUGAUUCGCAGCAAUGGGCAAAGGUAGGUAUUUCACAGGCAACUGGUGCUCUAUUCUCACUUUAGUGAUUCGCAGCAAUGGGCAAAGGUAGGUAUUUCACAGGCAACUGGGGCUCUAUUCUCACUUUAGUGAUUCGCAGCAAUGGACAAAGGUAGGUAUUUCACAGGCAACUGGUGCUCUAUUCUCCCUUUAGUGAUUCGUAGCAAUGGACAAAGGUAAGUAUUCCACAGGCAACUGGGGCUCUAUUCUCCUAGAAUACUUCUCCUGGGCGGUGGGCUUACGGUGAAAUACUGCGAUACAGUAAGUAGAUGAACUGUCAGACCUGGAGUAGUAAAUCGUCGUAGCGCAGUCCUCCACAGG